UCCACACCGUUGGUGAGGCUUUGGACCUAAUUACAAUGGUCUGAAUGAACUGAAGUCUGUGCAGAAGAUUCCUCAUCUGAAGACGAAGACCUUAUUUAUCGCGACAAGGUCAAUGAUGAGCUGGAUUAUGCAGUUCCGCCGCUUGAAAGGCUGAAUCACCAUCCCAGAGUGAAAGUGUCCAGGAGGAGAGUAGCCUAUACACACUUGAUGAGCAUGACACGUGAUGCUUUAAAGCCACGACUCCAGGAGGUGUUCUCUUCAGCGGAGCAAAAGCAGGUCAAUGGAAAUGCAACACACAACGUGCAGAGCCGUGCGGAGCUGUUCCAGGCUGGCCAAAUCGAGCCAGUGGAAAAGGGGCAUUACAGUCACACAGGCAAGGAGGAAAGGUGGAGCCGGGAUGAUGCGGUCACAGUUGAGGACAUCACAAAGAUAAUGGCUGAUUGUGCUGAACAAAAGACGCACAUAUCUUAAGAUUACGGAGACUGUGCAAGUGUGUUUGUACAAGAUAAUGGUGUGCAUGACCUAUGUCACGUUGCUGCUGUUUUCCCCCACCCUUCAGAAGCAGCAACGUUUAUUGUAACUAGGGACCACCCCAAAGAUAAAUUAAUAAAAAGAGAGGUGCAGACAGAUGGUUUUCAGAGCGGUAGGAGAUUUGUAACUGAAAGCACAUCUAUGUCCGUUCUCCUCGCAGCGAGUAAACUAACUAAUUAUUUGUCUUUCUCUUCUUUUUGUGAUGUUAUAAGUAUUUUAGGUUGUUUAAACCUGACAGUGUGGACCUAAUGUCUGAGCAUAAUCUAUCCUUUUCAAAUGUUGUGAACCAAACAGUUGAGAUUUACAUUCGUUUAAGAGAGCUGAUCAGUAAUUAACUACAGUCAUGAUACACUUUGUGAGGCCAGCAGCACAUUGACAUUGGGUCAUACACUAAAAUUGUCUAUUUCAUAUGUCACAUACAUAACCUGUAAUGUGUUACCUUUCAUAUUCUUUUAAAUGUGUCCAAUUUGAGAUGGGUUGGAAAUGUAUAGGAGAGGGAUUGUUAGACUGGUGGAAGCAGAAUGGAUGUGUGAAAGAAGACCAAAGGAGGAUGAAGUAAGAGGACAUUAAGUUAGAUAGGAGGAUACAGGAUUAGGAAUGCAGAUAGCUUCAAUGCAAUUGUUAUAGUAUGUUUAUGAAAUUGACUGCUUUGUUAAUAUCUAUACUGGUUUUCAAAUUUAAAAUUGAGAAGAAAAGAACAUUAACAAUUGUUGUUUUUCAUUUUCAGCCAUAUUUUCAGAAGUGGACUUACAACUUGAAAUUGACAAAUAUAUGUAUCCUAUUAAAUGUA